rnacentral:rRNA from 1 species
AGUGAACGCUGGCGGUAGGCCUAACACAUGCAAGUCGAACGGCAGCACAGUAAGAGCUAGCUCUUACGGGUGGCGAGUGGCGGACGGGUGAGGAAUACAUCGGAAUCUACUUUUUCGUGGGGGAUAACGUAGGGAAACUUACGCUAAUACCGCAUACGACCUACGGGUGAAAGCAGGAGAUCUUCGGACCUUGCGCGAUUGAAUGAGCCGAUGUCGGAUUAGCUAGUUGGCGGGGUAAAGGCCCACCAAGGCGACGAUCCGUAGCUGGUCUGAGAGGAUGAUCAGCCACACUGGAACUGAGACACGGUCCAGACUCCUACGGGAGGCAGCAGUGGGGAAUAUUGGACAAUGGGCGCAAGCCUGAUCCAGCCAUACCGCGUGGGUGAAGAAGGCCUUCGGGUUGUAAAGCCCUUUUGUUGGGAAAGAAAAGCAGCAGGUUAAUACCCCGCUGUUCUGACGGUACCCAAAGAAUAAGCACCGGCUAACUUCGUG